GCACAGGUGGACCAACGGGGGGUGUGACUGUGGGCACCGUGCGCGGAGGCGGAGGCUCAUCUGGUUCCCACCCUCCGUGCCGCUGGAUGCCCCAGGAUUUUCUCCAACCGGGGUCCCGGCUUGGAGCCCUCCUUGGUGCGAGCUUUGGCUCAGCAAUGGGGAAAGCGGGAAUGGGUCUCGCCCUUGUGGCUGCCUGGUGGAAGCGGCGGUUUUGACACACGAAUAGUCGUGGGGAGCAGAUCCAGAGAGGGCGCAUUUGCAAUAAUAACGCUUAGUUUAUCUCUGCCAGAGGGGCGGGAACAGGCCUUCGCGCUGGUGUCUUACAUCAGCCAAGCAAACCAUGGGCGCGAUUGGAGCCAACCACCUCCAGCGGGGUUUUGCUCCAGACUUAAGGUGCACGGAAACCGGAGCAUUCAGCCCUUCAUGGAUGCCUCCCGAAAACCUCACCAUGCCAGUGACACGACUGCAAACGGCGGGUGGCACAUGCCGGGGGCUUGGGAUGGGAGGGUUUGGAAACCUCGCUCCAAGGACGCCCUCAGCCAAGGAGCUUCGGCUCCUUCCUAGAAUUUCUAGAAGCACUUUUGGAGGGACCGAGGGCUUCCGGCCGGGCCCAGAGGAAUUUGAGCGCUUGCCCGGGCAGGCAGAAGCGCAGCCUGGGAGUGGAGAGGCUGCUGGGCCACAUUCCGGCCCAGCUUCCCCCGCUAGGCCCCAGCCCUGCCGCGGCGCCCCAGGAAGCACCUCCGAAAACAAAGCGCUGUGGUUUCAGCCCAAGGUUAAAGUCCACCGCGAGCGUGUUUUUUCCCCCCUCCAGAAUCUAAGAGCGAUAGCGUUUCUCCAAAUAAACCGCCAAUAAAUCAGCUCCCGGGGGCGCCUGCUGAAGAGCUCUGGUGACCUUGGGGGAUGGUUUUUCUGCCU
rnacentral:lncRNA from 1 species